rnacentral:lncRNA from 1 species
UCUCCAACAAUUGAUAAGUCGAGAAAAUUUUGAGAUUUUCCAUGUGCAUCGUUUAGUGCAAUUCUUCACUUCAUAGAUGUCAAGGUAGAGGAAUUUUUUGACAAUUAUUUUUGUUACUCCGAAAGUUCAUUUUAUGAAUGAAUUCCUUCAAACAAAAAUAUUUAUAAAAAAAAAUUCGGAUUCACAAUCAUCGUACCGAGUCAUUGAGACGGAAUACUAUUUACGAAUAAACCCGUGAAAGUCACAAGGGUGGACCAAACUUGCUGCAUACAAUUCAAUGUUUUUGACCAACCUACUCAGGCUGCAGAAUCCAUCAAAAACAAAGCAUUUGAGGUUAAGAAAUUGAAAAUAUAUUAAUUAACAAUCAAAUUAGUUGCAUGUGUGCAGCUACAGGAAUCCUAAGCAUCAAUGUGACCAAUUACCAAAGGAUGGAAUUUCUACUUAUUUACAAAAAGUAAAUGAGAGAGAGAGAGAGAGAGAGAGAGACAGAGAUUGUAUGUUCUUUCUCUUUAAUCUUCUUUUAUACAAGUGGGAAGAAGAAGCCUCCCAAAGAUAAGACAAGCGAAGGAAUUAGAACAUAUCCUAGACUGGAUAUAUGCCAUUUCUACUGCUUACAAGCAGUACAAAGACAAUGGAAUUUAUAUCGAAAGCCUAAAAAAAUCCAGAAGCAUAAUACAAAACAAAAACACACAUUACGAAUCACCCAAAUAGUAAAAUGAUAAUAUAAUAUUUCACUAAUGCUUGGUCCGUGGUGGGUGGAGCCUCAUCAACAAAUGGCUCAACACACACGUGAAAGACCGCAAUUAUAUAUUGUGUAUAUGGAUAUGUCUAUACACAAACAGAGAGACAAUACAUGGGGCAUUGACAUUUUAACGUGUAGCCUCCAAAGUGAUUAAUAUAAAAAGGGUCCGCCUAACUUACGUUCAACGUAAGUUACGCUCAGCCCGUCCAAUUUCAUAUAGUCCCCCUAUACUCUAUACUAUUUAUAUUUUAUUUA